GAUGAACGCUAGCGGCAGGCCUAACACAUGCAAGUCGAGGGAGGAGCUUUCGGGCUUCGACCGGCGUACGGGUGCGUAACGCGUAUACAAUCUGCCUUUCACAUAGGGAUAGCCCGAAGAAAUUUGGAUUAAUACCUAAUGGUAUAUAGAGGUGGCAUCACCUUUAUAUUAAAGCUGAGGCGGUGAAAGAUGAGUAUGCGUUCUAUUAGCUAGUUGGAGAGGUAACGGCUCCCCAAGGCGACGAUAGAUAGGGGUUCUGAGAGGGAUAUCCCCCACACUGGUACUGAGAUACGGACCAGACUCCUACGGGAGGAAGCAGUGAGGAAUAUUGGACAAUGGUCGGAAGACUGAUCCAGCCAUGCCGCGUGCAGGAAGACGGCCUUAUGGGUUGUAAACUGCUUUUGCAGGGGAAGAAUAAGGACUACGCGUAGUUUGAUGACGGUACUCUGCGAAUAAGCAUCGGCUAACUCCGUG
rnacentral:rRNA from 1 species